UACAGAGGCCUCGAGCGUUAGGCGGAAUCACUGGGCUUAAAGCGUGUGUAGGUGGAUGCCUAAGUACCUUGUGAAAUCCCAUGGCUUAACCAUGGAAUUGCUUGGUAUACUGGGUGUCUUGAGCCACUCAGGGGCGAGCGGAACAAACGGUGGAGCGGUGAAAUGCGUAGAUAUCAAGUGGAACACCGGUGGCGAAGGCGGGUCUCUGGGCCGUAACUGACGCUGAGGAGCGAAAGCAUGGGGAGCGAACAGG
rnacentral:rRNA from 1 species